GCACUACUGAAGAGUCCCACAAUAGGACGAAACGGUCGUUCAGUGC
rnacentral:hammerhead_ribozyme from 1 species